GUGAGGAAUUUUCCGCAAUGGGCGAAAGCCUGACGGAGCAAUGCCGCGUGAAGGAUGAAGGCCUUUGGGUUGUAAACUUCUUUUCUUAGAGAAGAAUAUUGACGGUAUCUGAGGAAUAAGCAUCGGCUAACUCUGUGCCAGCAGCCGCGGUAAGACAGAGGAUGCAAGCGUUAUCCGGAAUGAUUGGGCGUAAAGCGUCUGUAGGUGGCUUCAAAAGUCUCCUGUCAAAGAUCAGGGCGUAACCCUGGGCCGGCAGGAGAAACUCUGAGGCUAGAGUUUGGUAGGGGCAGAGGGAAUUCCCGGUGGAGCGGUGAAAUGCGUAGAGAUCGGGAGGAACACCAAAGGCGAAAGCACUCUGCUGGGCCACAACUGACACUGAGAGACGAAAGCGAGGGGAGCAAAAGGGAUUAGAAACCCUGGUAGUCC
rnacentral:rRNA from 1 species